CAGAAAGAGUUACUGGUUCUCUUGUGUUGGGAAAGGGUCUCCAAGGUGGUUUAACAGCUCUUUUCUGGAAGCUGUGGAGAAGAUUGAGACCUUCCAAGGAGUAUAACCUGAGACAUUUGGGCAUUUUUAAUGGACAUUCAAGGAUGGCCACCACUUUGCCAGUUUCUUGCAAUGAUGAAGUAAGACCCAUGACUUGGGACAAAGAAGAGCCAACAGAGUUUUUUACAUCACUCAUUUCAACAGUGCACUUUACUUUGUACUCAAGAAAACAUGAGAUGGAGGAAGAUUUACUGCAUGGUAAUGGCCAAGAAGUACCCUGGCCGAGACUGCAAGAUUUCCCAAGGGUUUCCUGCUAUAGCAAGACAAAGAUACCUGCUGGGGCAGGCCAGUAAGGUCACCCCCUGAAGCAAACAGACUAAGGCUAUUAGACUUGCCACAGUAUGCCCAAAGGGGACACUAGCUAGAAGAGGAAAAUGAGGCUUAUACUCGUGGCAGACUGAAACAUCCAGUUUCAGGAUCAAACUUCUGCCUUGGGUUCAAACAUGGAGAAAUGAGGCUUAUGACUUCCUAGCCGAACUCAACUGUAAUUGGUGGACAGGGAUUAAAGCCUACAGGUGAUGCAUUUGAAGAGAGAACUGCAGGCCCAAGUAAAGAGCCCAGAAGAUGUAGGAAGUCAAUGGAGGAUUUGGAGCAGAGGCACAUCCUAGUCUGACUUGUAUUUCAGAAGGAUCUGGCUGCAGAAUGCACAAUGGGGAGUCAGGACUGGAAACAGGGUGACUGGUUUGAAGCCUGUUCCAUCCCUCUAACUGUGAGAAGAUCUUGCUUGAGUUAGUUACUGUGUAGGUGACAAAAAGUACUGGAGUCAGAAUUCUUUUAAAGUUUGACCUCACAGAUUUGCUGAGCACAUGGUAGGAAGUCAAUGGAGGAUUUGGAGCAGAGGCACAUCCUAGUCUGUCUUGCAUUUCAGAAGGAUCUGGCUGGAGAAUGCACAGUAGAGAAUCAGGACUGGAAACAGGGUGACUGACUGGUUUGAAGCCUGUUCCAUCCCUCUAAGUAUGAGAAGAUCUUGCUUGAGAUCUUCUACAAAGAAGCAUUUUUCAAAAUUAACAAAACAAAACAAAACAAAACAAACAAACAAAAAAGAAGCAUUUUUCUUCAUUAACCAGGCAGUUGUAGUAUCAAGAGCAGGAGAGUUCCCUACUGUUUAGACUGUGUAAUAGUAAGCUGCUUUCAGAGAAAGCGAAAGACAUGGAUGAGGAUCCUUUUUCUCCAAAGCUCUGCCAAUUUAAAAAUUAAAACUGGUGGGAAAAUGGGAAUGAACAUUAUGGAGUUUUGUUUCAGAAUCAACUCAACAAGCCACUGGCACUUCAUUUGUUGAUCCUACCUGGAUCUAGGAUUUAUAACAUGUCUGCCAUGUUUGCAACUCCUUGGAUACAGCAUUCUAAAAAGUGUCCAUUCUCUACUUAAUCUUUUUCUGUACCUUCUUUAAAAAUGUUACAAAAAUUAACAGAGUAAGACAGAGUAGGGAUUGCAGUGUAAAUGCUUUGGACAAUCAGGUAACAGCUUUUUUUUUUUUUUUUUUUUUUAAAGGUUGGGUUAACAAUUUCCAUUUUCAAAAUGAGCCCAAAUUGAGUGAGUGAUUCUAAAUUAGCUCUUUAGUUUUUACCUUACGCUGCUGAUAAUGCCACUAUUAAUUUCAAUUAUUUAGAGGCAACAUUAAUACGUGUGAAAAAAGAACAGCGAUAAAGACAGAAAGGAAUAAAUUACUUGCUGCAGGACAGAAUGACAUUUUGACUGGCACAGAGAUUUUUUUUCUCUCACACACUUUGUGCUUUGACAUUUCACUUGGCACAAACAUUUCACAAAUUCUUGACCUAAUCUGAUGUACUGUUGUUUAGCAAUUGCUGACAUGACAUGUUUUAACCUCAAGCUUGCUGGAUUCCAAAUGUUACCUCUUCCUGUCAAUCAGGGUUGGAUGACCUCCAAAAAGCAGUCCAAGCAAAAAUCUAUGUACCUAAGAGGUUAAAUGCAUUUGCCCCAAAUGGAGAAGAGGCAGUUUGAAGUAGGAGUUGGGGGAAGGGCAGGAAGAAUGGUGUCAUUUAGGAAAAUUAUGGGGUGAAAAAAAUGUAGGAGGCAGAUCCUUAGGGAACCCUGAGAUCUGGAGAGAGACAUUAGUCCCAAACAUAGAACCUAGAAAUAAACCUAACAAGACAUACAUAGGGUCUAUAACAACAACAACAAUAACAAAAAUAGUCAACUUAGGAGUAGAAGAGAUUUCAGAUAACAGAGAAAUACAUUAUCUUCCUCAAAGGGAAGAAUGUGUUAUAUAAAAAUGUUGCUCCUUCUCAAAUUGUGGCUAUAACUUGACCAUCUCCCCUUCUCACUGCCUGUUGGUAUGGAAGAGGUUACAUUUAUAUUAAUAUCUGUGCUUUGCUGGUUUAUUAGGUCAUCUGUCUUUUGCAUCCCAAGACUUUAUUAAAAAAUAAGCCAACUCACAUUGCUUUGCUCUGAUCAGUUAGAAAUGCUUUAAAUUUGCAAGUAGAAAAACAACUUUUAGUCCAUGGUUGGUGAACUCCAUUGUGCAGAACAUCAUGG